GCUGCUUCUCAUUCAGGACCAAUCAUGCCCAAUGCAGCAGCCCGGGCUGCCUACACCACAUCAGGUGCUGCAUCUUCUGGAGGCAUGUCUGGUUCAGCUUCAUUAAAGAAAUCUAAUUCUGGACCCUUAAAUAGACAUGGAGAUCCUGUAAAAAAGUCAUCUGGCCCUCAGUCUGGUGGAGUAACACCUUCUGGGCGCCAAAACUCUGGUCCCCUUCCUCCUGUUCUUCCUGCAACUGGNNNNNNNNNNNNCGGGCCAAUUUCUUCAGGUCCCCUAAGUUCUUCUGGGGCACCUCGAAAGGUAUCAGGUCCAUUAGAAUCUAUGGGCUCAAUGAAAAUUCCAGGAUCUGCCAUUGUUCACAAUCAAGCGGUUACUGUACUUAGCCAAGAAGAUGACUUUUCUUUCAGA
rnacentral:misc_RNA from 1 species